rnacentral:rRNA from 1 species
UACGUAGGGUGCGAGCGUUGUCCGGAUUUAUUGGGCGUAAAGAGCUCGUAGGCGGCUUGUCGCGUCGGCUGUGAAAACCUGGGGCUCAACCCCGGGCCUGCAGCCGAUACGGGCAAGCUAGAGUUCGGUAGGGGAGACUGGAAUUCCUGGUGUAGCGGUGAAAUGCGCAGAUAUCAGGAGGAACACCGGUGGCGAAGGCGGGUCUCUGGGCCGAAACUGACGCUGAGGUGCGAAAGCGUGGGGAGCAAACAGG